rnacentral:tRNA from 1 species
GGAGAGAUGACAGAGUGGCCGAAUGUGCCUGAUUCGAAAUCAGGUGUACGUUAUGCGUACCGGGGGUUCGAAUCCCUCUCUCUCCGCCU